rnacentral:rRNA from 1 species
AGUUGGUGAGGUAACGGCUCACCAAGGCGACGAUGGGUAGCCGGCCUGAGAGGGUGGACGGCCACACUGGGACUGAGACACGGCCCAGACUCCUACGGGAGGCAGCAGUAGGGAAUAUUGCGCAAUGGAGGAAACUCUGACGCAGCGACGCCGCGUGAGCGAUGAAGGUUUUCGGAUCGUAAAGCUCUGUCCUUGGGGAAGAAGGUCUUCGGACUUGACGGUACCCAAGAAGAAAGCCCCGGCUAACUACGUGCCAGCAGCCGCGGUAAUACGUAGGGGGCAAGCGUUGUCCGGAAUUAUUGGGCGUAAAGGGUGCGUAGGCGGCCUUUUAAGUCAGAUGUGAAAGCCCGCGGCUUAACUGCGGGAUUGCAUUUGAAACUGGGAGGCUUGAGUAUCGGAGAGGGUAGUGGAAUUCCCAGUGUAGCGGUGAAAUGCGUAGAUAUUGGGAGGAACACCAGUGGCGAAGGCGACUGCCUGGACGAAAACUGACGCUGAGGCACGAAAGCUAGGGGAGCAAACAGGAUUAGAUACCCUGGUAGUCCUAGCCGUAAACGAUGGGUACUAGGUGUAGGAGGUUUCGAUACCUUCUGUGCC